CUCCACAGAGAAGAUUAGCAUGGCCCCUGCAUUAAGGAUGACACGCUUAAUCAAAGAAAGCAAAACAUUUUUU
rnacentral:snRNA from 1 species